GGGUUGUGAGGUUAAGCGACUAAGCGUACACGGUGGAUGCCCUGGCAGUCAGAGGCGAUGAAGGACGUGCUAAUCUGCGAUAAGCGUCGGUAAGGUGAUAUGAACCGUUAUAACCGGCGAUUUCCGAAUGGGGAAACCCAGUGUGUUUCGACACACUAUCAUUAACUGAAUCCAUAGGUUAAUGAGGCGAACCGGGGGAACUGAAACAUCUAAGUACCCCGAGGAAAAGAAAUCAACCGAGAUUCCCCCAGUAGCGGCGAGCGAACGGGGAGCAGCCCAGAGCCUGAAUCAGUGUGUGUGUUAGUGGAAGCGUCUGGAAAGGCGCGCGAUACAGGGUGACAGCCCCGUACACAAAAAUGCACAUAUUGUGAGCUCGAUGAGUAGGGCGGGACACGUGGUAUCCUGUCUGAAUAUGGGGGGACCAUCCUCCAAGGCUAAAUACUCCUGACUGACCGAUAGUGAACCAGUACCGUGAGGGAAAGGCGAAAAGAACCCCGGCGAGGGGAGUGAAAAAGAACCUGAAACCGUGUACGUACAAGCAGUGGGAGCCUCUUUUAUGGGGUGACUGCGUACCUUUUGUAUAAUGGGUCAGCGACUUAUAUUCUGUAGCAAGGUUAACCGAAUAGGGGAGCCGAAGGGAAACCGAGUCUUAACUGGGCGUUAAGUUGCAGGGUAUAGACCCGAAACCCGGUGAUCUAGCCAUGGGCAGGUUGAAGGUUGGGUAACACUAACUGGAGGACCGAACCGACUAAUGUUGAAAAAUUAGCGGAUGACUUGUGGCUGGGGGUGAAAGGCCAAUCAAACCGGGAGAUAGCUGGUUCUCCCCGAAAGCUAUUUAGGUAGCACCUCGUGAAUUCAUCUCCGGGGGUAGAGCACUGUUUCGGCAAGGGGGUCAUCCCGACUUACCAACCCGAUGCAAACUGCGAAUACCGGAGAAUGUUAUCACGGGAGACACACGGCGGGUGCUAACGUCCGUCGUGAAGAGGGAAACAACCCAGACCGCCAGCUAAGGUCCCAAAGUCAUGGUUAAGUGGGAAACGAUGUGGGAAGGCCCAGACAGCCAGGAUGUUGGCUUAGAAGCAGCCAUCAUUUAAAGAAAGCGUAAUAGCUCACUGGUCGAGUCGGCCUGCGCGGAAGAUGUAACGGGGCUAAACCAUGCACCGAAGCUGCGGCAGCGACACUAUGUGUUGUUGGGUAGGGGAGCGUUCUGUAAGCCUGUGAAGGUGUGCUGUGAGGUAUGCUGGAGGUAUCAGAAGUGCGAAUGCUGACAUAAGUAACGAUAAAGCGGGUGAAAAGCCCGCUCGCCGGAAGACCAAGGGUUCCUGUCCAACGUUAAUCGGGGCAGGGUGAGUCGACCCCUAAGGCGAGGCCGAAAGGCGUAGUCGAUGGGAAACAGGUUAAUAUUCCUGUACUUGGUGUUACUGCGAAGGGGGGACGGAGAAGGCUAUGUUGGCCGGGCGACGGUUGUCCCGGUUUAAGCGUGUAGGCUGGUUUUCCAGGCAAAUCCGGAAAAUCAAGGCUGAGGCGUGAUGACGAGGCACUACGGUGCUGAAGCAACAAAUGCCCUGCUUCCAGGAAAAGCCUCUAAGCAUCAGGUAACAUCAAAUCGUACCCCAAACCGACACAGGUGGUCAGGUAGAGAAUACCAAGGCGCUUGAGAGAACUCGGGUGAAGGAACUAGGCAAAAUGGUGCCGUAACUUCGGGAGAAGGCACGCUGAUAUGUAGGUGAAGUCCCUCGCGGAUGGAGCUGAAAUCAGUCGAAGAUACCAGCUGGCUGCAACUGUUUAUUAAAAACACAGCACUGUGCAAACACGAAAGUGGACGUAUACGGUGUGACGCCUGCCCGGUGCCGGAAGGUUAAUUGAUGGGGUUAGCGCAAGCGAAGCUCUUGAUCGAAGCCCCGGUAAACGGCGGCCGUAACUAUAACGGUCCUAAGGUAGCGAAAUUCCUUGUCGGGUAAGUUCCGACCUGCACGAAUGGCGUAAUGAUGGCCAGGCUGUCUCCACCCGAGACUCAGUGAAAUUGAACUCGCUGUGAAGAUGCAGUGUACCCGCGGCAAGACGGAAAGACCCCGUGAACCUUUACUAUAGCUUGACACUGAACAUUGAGCCUUGAUGUGUAGGAUAGGUGGGAGGCUUAGAAGUGUGGACGCCAGUCUGCAUGGAGCCGACCUUGAAAUACCACCCUUUAAUGUUUGAUGUUCUAACGUUGACCCGUGAUCCGGGUUGCGGACAGUGUCUGGUGGGUAGUUUGACUGGGGCGGUCUCCUCCUAAAGAGUAACGGAGGAGCACGAAGGUUGGCUAAUCCUGGUCGGACAUCAGGAGGUUAGUGCAAUGGCAUAAGCCAGCUUGACUGCGAGCGUGACGGCGCGAGCAGGUGCGAAAGCAGGUCAUAGUGAUCCGGUGGUUCUGAAUGGAAGGGCCAUCGCUCAACGGAUAAAAGGUACUCCGGGGAUAACAGGCUGAUACCGCCCAAGAGUUCAUAUCGACGGCGGUGUUUGGCACCUCGAUGUCGGCUCAUCACAUCCUGGGGCUGAAGUAGGUCCCAAGGGUAUGGCUGUUCGCCAUUUAAAGUGGUACGCGAGCUGGGUUUAGAACGUCGUGAGACAGUUCGGUCCCUAUCUGCCGUGGGCGCUGGAGAACUGAGGGGGGCUGCUCCUAGUACGAGAGGACCGGAGUGGACGCAUCACUGGUGUUCGGGUUGUCAUGCCAAUGGCACUGCCCGGUAGCUAAAUGCGGAAGAGAUAAGUGCUGAAAGCAUCUAAGCACGAAACUUGCCCCGAGAUGAGUUCUCCCUGACCCUUUAAGGGUCCUGAAGGAACGUUGAAGACGACGACGUUGAUAGGCCGGGUGUGUAAGCGCAGCGAUGCGUUGAGCUAACCGGUACUAAUGAACCGUGAGGCUUAACCUUACAACGCCGAAGCUGUU
rnacentral:rRNA from 1 species